rnacentral:rRNA from 1 species
UACAGAGGGGGCAAGCGUUUAUUCGGAAUUAUUGGGCGUAAAGGGCGCGUAGGCGGCUUGGCAAGUGGAUGGUGAAAUCCCUCGGCUUAACCGAGGAACUGCCGUCCAAACUGCUUCGCUUGAGACCGGGAGAGGUGAGUGGAAUUCCCAGUGUAGCGGUGAAAUGCGUAGAUAUUGGGAGGAACACCAGUGGCGAAGGCGGCUCACUGGACCGGUAUGACGCUGAUGCGCGAAAGCGUGGGGAGCAAACGGGG